UAAUGAAGGAAGCAUGGUACUGUGCACAGAGAUGGAACAAACAGGGUCCUCAUGUCUGCUUGCUUUGAUGCCCUUGUGGUUAUGAUUUUGCGGGCCUGGAUCCGACCUACAUUU